GCUCUUCAAUGCUUGGCCAAUAGAGCAUGUGACUCAUAAUCUCACGGUUGUGGGUUCAAGCCCCACGUUGGGCA